rnacentral:rRNA from 1 species
ACGCAUAUGUGCUGGAAUGCUUUAUGCGUAAAAUGGAUUCGUCUGCCCAAGGAUGGGUCUGCGGCCUAUCAGGUAGUAGUGGGUGUAAUGUACCUACUAGCCGACAACGGGUACGGGUUGUGAGAGCAAGAGCCCGGAGAUGGAUUCUGAGACAUGAAUCCAGGCCCUACGGGGCGCAGCAGGCGCGAAAACUUUACAAUGCGGGAAACCGUGAUAAGGGGACACCGAGUGUCAGCAUCAUAUGCUGGCUGUCCGGGUGUGUAAAAUACACCCGUUAGCAAGGGCCGGGCAAGACCGGUGCCAGCCGCCGCGGUAACACCGGCGGCCCGAGUGGUGAUCGUGAUUAUUGGGUCUAAAGGGUCCGUAGCCGGUUUGGUCAGUCCUCCGGGAAAUCUGAUAGCUCAACUAUUAGGCUAUCGGGGGAUACUACCAGACUUGGAACCGGGAGAGGUAAGAGGUACUACAGGGGUAGGAGUGAAAUCUUGUAAUCCCUGUGGGACCACCUGUGGCGAAGGCGUCUUACCAGAACGGGUUCGACGGUGAGGGACGAAAGCUGGGGGCACGAACCGGAUUAGAUACCCGGGUAGUCCCAGCCGUAAACGAUGCUCGCUAGGUGUCAGGCAUGGCGCGACCGUGUCUGGUGCCGCANGGAAGCCGUGAAGCGAGCCACCUGGGAAGUACGGCCGCAAGGCUGAAACUUAAAGGAAUUGGCGGGGGAGCAC